rnacentral:rRNA from 1 species
AGAGUUUGAUCAUGGCUCAGAAUCAACGCUGGCGGCGUGCCUAACACAUGCAAGUCGAACGAGAAAGUGGUAGCAAUACCAUGAGUAAAGUGGCGCACGGGUGAGUAACACGUGACUAACCUACCCUUGAGUGGGGGAUAACUGAGGGAAACCUUAGCUAAUACCGCAUAAUACCCACGGGUCAAAGGAGCAAUUCGCUCGAGGAGGGGGUCGCGGCCGAUUAGUUAGUUGGCGGGGUAACGGCCCACCAAGACGAUGAUCGGUAUCCGGCCUGAGAGGGCGCACGGACACACUGGAACUGAAACACGGUCCAGACUCCUACGGGAGGCAGCAGUGGGGAAUUUUGCGCAAUGGGGGAAACCCUGACGCAGCAACGCCGCGUGGAGGAUGAAGUCCUUCGGGACGUAAACUCCUUUCGAUCGGGACGAUUAUGACGGUACCGGAAGAAGAAGCCCCGGCUAACUUCGUGCCAGCAGCCGCGGUAAUACGAGGGGGGCGAGCGUUGUUCAGAAUUAUUGGGCGUAAAGGGUGCGUAGGCGGUUUUGUAAGUCUUAUGUGAAAUCUAUGGGCUCAACUCAUAGACUGCAUGAGAAACUGCAGGGCUCGAGUGUGGGAGAGGUGAGUGGAAUUUCCGGUGUAGCGGUGAAAUGCGUAGAUAUCGGAAGGAACACCUGUGGCGAAAGCGGCUCACUGGACCACAACUGACGCUGAUGCACGAAAGCUAGGGGAGCAAACAGGAUUAGAUACCCUGGUAGUCCUAGCCCUAAACCAUGAUUGCUUGGUGUGACGGGUACCCAAUCCCGCCGUGCCGUAGCUAACGCGUUAAGCAAUCCGCCUGGGGAGUACGGUCGCAAGGCUGAAACUCAAAGGAAUUGACGGGGGCCCGUACAAGCGGUGGAGCAUGUGGUUCAAUUCGACGCAACGCGAAGAACCUUACCUGGGCUCGAAAUGUUAUGGACCGGGGUAGAAAUAUCCCUUCCCAGCAAUGGGCCGUAAUAUA